UUCUGUUGUAUAUAUUUGUUUUGCUGUAUAGUAUUUGUUUUUCUGUUGUAUAGUAUUUGUUUUGCUGUUCUUAAUUUAUGAAUUCCCUGUGCGGCGUCCUUGAGUGCCAUGAAAGGCGUCUUUAAAUAAAAUGUAUUAUUAUUAUUAUUAUUAAGUGUGAUAAUGGGUAAGUAACAGGAGUAAUGCUCACACUGUUAACUGUUGCAUUUGGUUAUAAUAACAUGUUGUACACACAGCAUUUAAAGAGAACAGACUGGUGGUUUGACAAGGUUAAACUUAUUAAACCCAAACAGAGUGGUAAACCUUCAAGCGAGUCUUGGUAACUUGUGAUGAACACUGUGGCCCCAGGUCACAAUUACAGGACAAAGGGAAAUGCUAAAAGCUAGCAAGUAUAGAUGAUGUAUGAAGUCAAUAAACUGAAGUAGUAUUGUUAAUUACCAGAAAUAUCUACCUAUAUAACUGUGUUCCCCUCAUUCUCCAUUAAUUACCCUUGUGUAAGACUGAUAUAUGACCGUGACCAACUUCUUCCUCUCCCUCCCACUGUAAAUACUUAAUAUUUUCUGUUAAAAACAAGCAACAUUUAUAUUUAUGUUAGUAACAUAAGUCAUGGUGAAAAGUAAACAAAACAUUUCAUUUAUACAGCAGGAAGAACCAGCUCUCCUCCUCCACUGGACCCACGACAUCCACCGGUCACCCCUGAGACUGGAGCCGACAGUGUGGCGGUGUGGCCGGUGCCGGCAACCGGAUCCUCCGGUGCCUUCGGAGGAGUUGGUGUCGUGGGUCCAGUGUGACAAGCUGGGGGUAGGAGGAGCUAACUAAUGAUGAAUUUUGGUGUUUUUGGUGCUCAGAUAUUUAAUUUGAUAUUUUUUUAUGUAAUUUGUUUUUUUAUUAUUUAUUUUUAAAAUGUUUUGCCUGUUUUUUAUUGUUAUUAAAUAAUUAUUUGUAUAAUCUUUUCAAUCAUUUUUGAACACUUUUUUUUUUCUGUAAAUCUUACACACUUUUUGUAAAGGUAUUUUAGAACACAUGUGUGUGUGUGUGUAUAUAUAUAUAUAUAUAUAUAUAUAUAGCUUGUUUUCAUGCAAUUGUUGUAAAUGAGCAUUGGUAGUAAUUGGUAAUAGUAUUUUAUUGCAUAUAUCCCCGAAGGAAAACUUAUUAAAAUAAGCUAUAUAUAUAUAUGUAACUUAUGCGCCCAUUGUUUACAUUGAGGAAAUAGCGGUGUACGGUAAUGGCCAAGGGUAGCGUACGGCUAAAUCAGCGGUGUUAGCUUACUUUAGCCAACUCUUAUGAAGUAAAAGCUUAACUAAUUUGUUUAAACAAUAUACCGUUAGAAAGGUAAGAACUUAUACUUUAGUUUAAAACCAUUAAAUUAACUGAAAACAUUAAUGGAUUAAUUAUAUUCGUAUUUGAACAGAUAUGUUGAUAGAACUUUAGCCAGAAAGUGUCCGAACGUGGACACAGUUCCGUCAGCUGAUGUGAGUUUGCCUGUUUUUACCUAACUCAGAUCCACAAUGGAAACCCCCACUGCUGGGGGGGGAAAUCUCUUCUGGCUCGAGAAGCUGGAGGGAUUUCCUCAAUCAAUGCUGGCCUUACAUUUCGUGGAAAAGGAUUAUUUUUCGAAUCAAGCGUCUGUUAUUCUCGGCCUCGUCCUGGGCUGGGCUCUCCGUUCCUAUGGGCUGUUUGACAGCAAUAUCCCAACGCUACGUCUGCUUUCAAGGAGAAAUGUUCAUGUGGACGCUUAAGUGUGAUAAUGGGGGUUUCUGGUGUGAGCUUUCCCUCUUCAAAAAAAAUCACUCUGUGUACUGCAGCGUAUAUGAUCUGCAGUACAUUUACAGCUGUGAUGAUAGGGAUAACCCUGGUAUUGUUAAUCCACCCGGGAACUGCUUUUGGGGAUAAUAGAACAAGUGAAGACAAAGAUCACGACUUCUCCACUGCUGAU